UAGAUAUGGGCCUAAAUUCAAUAAUCAAAACUCGACAUUUUAAACUUCAAUGGUCAAUACGUAAGUUCAUUGACCCUUGGAACAAUUAACUCGAAAAAAAGGUAGUUGCCCAACGAGUCCCCUUACCGCAUCCUCCUGCAAAACUUGACAUAUCUGUCCAUCGAGUCCGUGUCCAUUACUACAGAGCUUCAUAUUCCCUCUGUAUGAUAUCACAGAACCAAGACAUGUUCGCCCCGCAAUUCAAUCUCUGCUAAGAAAACUUUAGAGCCCACAUGGCCAAAACUAGUUGUGCCAUUGGAAAAGAUCAUAGACAGGCUAUCCAUAGUUUGGGGAUAGUGAAUCAUCUUAGUUCUGUCAAGGACUCUCCGGAGCUCCGGGCGGCAAUCGAACAAGUUCAGCCCGAAAAAGUUGAGUUUCAGUUGAAAUUAGGACAGAGUAAGCCCAUCUA